CGGCGUGCCUAAUACAUGCAAGUCGAACGAUGAAGUCCUAGCUUGCUAGGAUGGAUUAGUGGCGCACGGGUGAGUAAUAUAUAGUUAAUCUGCCCUACACAGAGGAACAACAGUUGGAAACGACUGCUAAUACCUCAUACUCCUAUUUAACGCAAGUUAAAUAGGGAAAGUCUUUUCGGUGUAGGAUGAGACUAUAUCGUAUCAGCUAGUUGGUAAGGUAAUGGCUUACCAAGGCUAUGACGCGUAACUGGUCUGAGAGGAUGAUCAGUCACAUUGGAACUGAGACACGGUCCAAACUCCUACGGGAGGCAGCAGUAAGGAAUAUUGCGCAAUGGGGGAAACCCUGACGCAGCAACGCCGCGUGGAGGAUGACACUUUUCGGAGCGUAAACUCCUUUUAUCAGGAAAGAAUAAUGACGGUACCUGAUGAAUAAGCACCGGCUGACUCCGUGCCAGCAGCCGCGGUAAUACGGGGGGUGCAAGCGUUACUCGGAAUCACUGGGCGUAAAGGACGCGUAGGCGGAUUAUCAAGUCUUUUGUGAAAUCUAGUGGCUUAACCACUAAACUGCUUAGGAAACUGAUAGUCUAGAGUAGGGGAGAGGUAGAUGGAAUUCUUGGUGUAGGGGUAAAAUCCGUAGAGAUCAAGAAGAAUACCCAUUGCGAAAGCGAUCUGCUGGAAC
rnacentral:rRNA from 1 species